AUCUUACUUCCUCCGCCCGGAAAUAGUUGUCGGAGGAAUGAAUGUAUCUAGACAUAUUUUAGUUUUAGAUGCAUCCAUUUAUAUCCAUUUUCACGACAACUAUUUCUGGAUGGAGGGAGUACUAC
rfam:Triticum aestivum genome assembly, contig: Triticum_aestivum_CS42_TGACv1_scaffold_146452_2BS